rnacentral:rRNA from 1 species
UACGUAGGGGGCAAGCGUUGUCCGGAAUCAUUGGGCGUAAAGCGCGUGUAGGCGGUCCGGUAAGUCGGCUGUGAAAGUCCAGGGCUCAACCCUGGGAUGCCGGUCGAUACUGCCGGACUAGAGUUCGGAAGAGGCGAGUGGAAUUCCCGGUGUAGCGGUGAAAUGCGCAGUAUAGUCGGGAGGAACACCAAUGGCGAAGGCAGCUCGCUGGGACGUUACUGACGCUGAGGCGCGAAAGCGUGGGGAGCGAACAGG